GGAGGAGGAAGGGGACUGGAGAUGAUGAACUCUGCGAGCCUGUCCCAGCUGAGAGCCUGGGUUUGUGAGCUGCAACACAUAUCUGUUAGAGACACUGAGGCCAGGAGAGGAGAAAGGAUCAGUAUACAUUGACCAUCACUUCCAUGUCAUCAGGUAGGACACAAAGGGACCAAAGAGGACUUCAUUUCCAUUUUGGGAUAGGCCAGAAGGAAAGAGAGUGGGGUACUACAGCAGUAAAGAUAAAGGAUGGAUAAUAAGAGGAACUUCCAGUUGCCAUCGAGCUUUGAUUCCUGGACUGGGGUACACAUACUGCUUGGCUAUGGGAAAAGGGCUGGAAUGGAAAUGACACAGGCUGGGCCUGUAGCCAAUGGGAACUUCCCCGUAGAAGAUGCCACUUAAAAGUGUUAUUAAACCCUCAGGACUUUUAAAGUGGAGAACAAGAACUGUCAGAGGGAGUCUUCUUGUUUAAGUCCACGCUGUGAAUGGAACUGAGAAGGCUGAGAAGCAUAGGCUGGACUAGGAAGCUUAUAGAAACUCAAGAGUCAGACUGGGGCUGUCACUAGGUGGUAAAGCACUUGCCUAGCAUGUGUGACGCAGUGAGUUCGAUC